rnacentral:rRNA from 1 species
CCUACGGGAGGCAGCAGUGAGGAAUAUUGCGCAAUGGGGGCAACUCUGACGCAGCAACGCCGCGUGAGUGAGGAAGGUUUUCGGACCGUAAAGCUCUGUCGAGCGGGAAGAAAUGCAUGGUGGCUAAUAUCCAUCAUGCUUGACGGUACCGCUAAAGGAAGCACCGGCUAACUCCGUGCCAGCAGCCGCGGUAAUACGGGGGGUGCAAGCGUUGUUCGGAAUCAUUGGGCGUAAAGAGCGUGUAGGCGGCUGGAUAAGUCAGAUGUGAAAGCCCUGGGCUUAACCCAGGAAGUGCAUUUGAAACUGUCCAGCUUGAGUAAGGGAGAGGAAAGUGGAAUUCCUGGUGUAGAGGUAAAAUUCGUAGAUAUCAGGAGGAACACCGGUGGCGAAGGCGACUUUCUGGCCCUAUACUGACGCUGAGACGCGAGAGCGUGGGUAGCAAACAGGAUUAGAUACCCUGGUAGUCCACGCUGUAAACGAUGUUCACUAGGUGUUGGGGGUAUUGACCCUCUCAGUGCCGUAGCUAACGCAUUAAGUGAACUGCCUGGGGAGUACGGUCGCAAGAUUAAAACUCAAAGGAAUUGACGG